GGUCCAAUCCAGUCUUCAGGGCCAACAAUACAGGAUUAUUUGAAUCGACCAAGGCCUACCUGGGAAGAAGUAAAAGAGCAACUAGAAGAGGAGAAAAGAAAGGCUCCAAGGUUUUGGCUGAAUUUGAAGAAAAAAAUGAAUGAGAACUGGAAGAAAGAACUAGAAAGAGACAGGGAGAAAUUGUUAAGUGGAAGUGAGAGCUCAUCAAAACAAAAAAAGAAAAGAAUAAAUUUGGUAGGUAUUCAUCUUCUUCUUCAUUAAGCUCUAAUUCUUCCAGCAGUUCUUCUGAUUGUGAAAAUGAGGAUAAGAAACAAGGAAAACAGAGAAAGAAAAAGAACCGUUGACAUAAAUCUUCUGAAAGCUCCAUGUCAUAAUCUGAAUCAGACAGUAAGGAUAGUUUAAAAAAGAAAAAGAAGUCAAAAGAUGCAACGGAGAAAGAAAAGGACAUUAAAGGGCUCAGCAAAAAGAGAACGAUAAAUUCUUAAGAUAAACCUUUAUCAUCCAAGUCCUUGUCAGAAUCACAGUUUACUGAGGAGGUACGAGCAAAAAAGAAGAAAAGCAGUGAAAAAUGAGAAAAAGCAACAGAAAAAAAACAAAAAAAGAAAAAGAAGCAUAAGAAACAUAGUAAGAAGAAAAAGAAGGCUGCUAGUUCAAGUCCUGACUCACCAUAA
rnacentral:lncRNA from 1 species